CUCCAAUGAGGAGGAAACAUCCUGCCUCAGCCCUGUUCUAGCCUGGGAACCAGUAAUUGUGAACCCACCAGGAUUAACUGAAAAAGGGCAUGAGAGCUUAUUCCAUAAGCUGUCUGAGGCAU
ensembl:snoRNA SNORD22 Small nucleolar RNA SNORD22